rnacentral:lncRNA from 1 species
ACUGUUCAAUUGUCUCUUUGUCUUUAAGCUCAACGCUAACAGUGCCCAGAGUGCAGCUGUAAUGGCACAAGAGCUCCGGAAGACAGCGGAGAGGCUGCAGGCUCAGCUGGAGGCUCUGAAAGGCUCCUCAGACCCCGAGACACUGGAAUUCCUGCAGGCCCUAGAAGCGCCCAUUAGAAUCACCAGCCGCGUGCUCACUGAGAACCAGAGGCUACGGCAGGAGUUGGAGGAGUUGAAGGGCAGGUUGGCAGCCCCACCACCCCUGGAACCAGCCAGCCAGCCUCCAGCUCCCUGGGCAUCAUCCCCCUGGACCUCCCAGACAUCGCCCCCAUGGGCCACCCGGAGCACAGCCUUGCCCCUGCAGGUCCGUGUGAGGGGGAAGACGGCUGGCUGCGAGAGGCAGUUCUUGGACCAGGUGACCCAGCUCCUCGUGGCCCAGGGCAUCUCCCUGCAGGCCGGGGAGUACGAGCCACACUCCAGCCACCCGCUGCUGCUCUUCUGUCCGAUCUCAUCCCGCUCAGGCACAGACAUCAGCAACGCCCUGGAGGGGAUCCCCGCGGCGAGGAAGAUGAUCCUGGUGGUGCUGCAUCACCAGCCCAACGAGCAGGCCGAGCUCUACGCCAGCAGCAGGCGUGAGGUCCAGCACCCGGGGCUCCUACACACGGUGGACGGCUGCUUCUCCACCCAUUCCGGCUUCUACCAGUGCCGGGCCAACACUGCUGCCGUGGCCUCUGUGUCUGCUGCCCUCCAGCAACUGGCCCUAGCCGGCCACUAGGGGCACCCCCUGCAGGAGGCAGCAGGAUCUGUGAGCUGGGACGUGGCAUGUCCGUGGGGCUGUUACACCCUGGUGACUGUACUGUCCUGACCAGUCCUAGCUGGGACUGCCUGGGGGGGCCAGUGCUGUAGCAUGUUGGACUGUUACCUGUGGGAAUGGUCUUCUCUGGGCUGGAGCUGUUCCUACCAACCUCUGCUCCCCCUCCCCCAACUACCCUUGUGUCAGUCCCUCCCCUCCUGUCCCCCAUCACACUUAGGGCAACGCUGUGCAGCUGCAUUAGUUCCUGCCAUGUUAUACAGCUGCCCCCGCUCCCUGUGCUAUGGGCCUUGUGCCUGGGUGUAUCUUCCCCCUGUCCCCAGCCCACCCGUGAACACUGAUCAGUCCCCACAGGGAUCUCGUGCGAGCAGCAUGAUGAGACAAGCUCUGGCUCUUGGAUUCUGUUACAGCUGCUUCCCCUCCCUGUGGCAGGGGCCUGGUGAGCAUGGAAGCGCUUUGGGCUGGACCUGGGGGGGGCAGGCCAGCCAUUGUGCUGGGCACAUGUCACUCCUAGUGCAGUCAGGGCUGCAGCGGGAGACCAAGGGAGGCUCUGUGGCCUGGCGACCGAGUGUUAUGCUCUGGUGAAGGUGCUGUCUUGGCCUGUUCUUGGCAAUGGGCUACUCCCCAGCCAUGGGCCCCUCAUCUUUCAGACUCCAGCCUGAGCUAGCUGCCUGGACCCCAGUGGGCUGGGGGUGAGGGUGGUGUAUGGCCAGAUCGGUUGCAGGUUGGGGUGGAUUUGGAUAGUUUUUUGAUUUUCCCCUGGGGAUUUGACAGCCCCUGGCUUGAGCCAGCCCCAGAGGGUGUUCAGGUGGCUAAGGGGUGGGUGGGAUUUUAGAGAGCUGUCCUAGCCAGCACUCCAACCACCCCCAGCAGGGCUGCUGCAGCACCCAUGAAUAUGCUACCUCAAGGCUUCUCUGUGCUACAGGGGGGCUCCUAGCUCGGCCCUAGAGGGCCCACAUCUGAUGCUGCUGCCUGCGGUUGGUGGAGCUCCAGCACUGCAGGGUUGUGCUCUUCAAAUGCACAGGCCCCAUGCUGGGUUCCUGUCUGCAAGCCACCUACAGGGAGUGCUGCAUGUGGAAGAUGUGAUAGAUCUGGGCAGAAAGCAUGGCCCAUAUGUUGGAAUAAUGACCACACUGAUAUGGACCAGGGUUUGGAAUGCCCUCUAGAGCCCACCUCACCUGCAGCCUCCUUCAGCCACUACAGAAUCACCGUGUUUCCCUCACCCACCUGCUCCUUGUGCCUUUUUGGUCACUGAGGCCAAGCCAAUAAACUGCACCAAGCCAG